rnacentral:rRNA from 1 species
AGCAGCCGCGGUAAUUCCAGCUCCAAUAGCGUAUAUUAAAGUUGUUGCAGUUAAAAAGCUCGUAGUUGAAUUUCGGGAUUGACACAUCGGUCGUGCCUUAAGGGGUAUGAACAGGUGUAGUCAAUUUCUCACCUUCCGGAGAACCGCGAUGCCCUUAAUUGGGUGUCGCGGGGAACCAGGACCUUUACUUUGAAAAAAUUAGAGUGUUUAAGGCAGGCAUUUUGCUUGAAUACAUUAGCAUGGAAUAAUAAAAUAGGACGGCAUGGUUCUAUUUUGUUGGUUUCUAGGAUCACCGUAAUGAUUAAUAGGGAUAGUUGGGGGCAUUAGUAUUCAAUUGUCAGAGGUGAAAUUCUUGGAUUUAUUGAAGACUAACUACUGCGAAAGCAUUUGCCAAGGAUGUUUUCAUUAAUCAAGAACGAAAGUUAGGGGAUCGAAGACGAUCAGAUACCGUCGUAGUCUUAACCAUAAACUAUGCCGACUAGGAAUCAGACGAUGUUAAUUUUUAAUGACUCGUUUGGCA